rnacentral:rRNA from 1 species
UACGGAGGGGGCAAGCGUUAUUCGGAAUUACUGGGCGUAAAGCGCACGUAGGCGGAUUGUUAAGUCAGAGGUGAAAUCCCGGAGCUCAACUUCGGAACUGCCUUUGAUACUGGCAAUCUAGAGUCCGGAAGAGGUUAGUGGAAUUCCCAGUGUAGAGGUGAAAUUCGUAGAUAUUGGGAAGAACACCAGUGGCGAAGGCGGCUAACUGGUCCGGUACUGACGCUGAGGUGCGAAAGCGUGGGGAGCAAACAGG